rnacentral:lncRNA from 1 species
CUGAGUUCACAGCCAGGUAAGGGCCUCCACCACACCCUCCUAGCUUGGCCCUCUGGGGAUUUGACUCCACAUGAUUACAACCUGUCUUGGGCCCUUAGCCCCCUGCCUCUCAUCUGGGCACCCUCCCCCGGAAGUCUGUGCCUGGCACGUGGGGCUCACUGCUGGCACCAGGCUGCCCAGGGAGUAAGGGGAUCCAGGACAUGCCCAGGAAGCCCUGCCCCCACCCUAGACUGAAGCAAGGAUCUGGAGACCCGCCCCACGGCCUUUGCAGACCAGGCUCCUGCAUCAUCUUCCUCAUCCUGGGGCCAGGCACCUCCCUCAGCUCCUCCCUGUUGCCCUCUAGGCCAGGCUCUGCUGGCAGCAAGCAGGAGCUUCCUUUAGCAGCUCCCCCCGCCUGGGAAGGGCUUCUGGUUGGGAAAGCAGGGAGGACCAGGUGGGGCCUAUGAGGGGCUGGACCCAGAAGACAGCACUAGGGGAUGAGGCAGAAGGACGGUCCACGGGAGGAGGGGUGCAGAGGGCUAAGGGCAUCAGGGCUGCUUCAUGGCUCUGCACCCUUGGGCAAGUGCCUGACCCCCUCUGGGCCUUAGCCUCCCUGUCUUAGUCCAUGGCGGCUGCUAUAACAAAAUGCCAUAUACUAGGUAGCUUAUUGACCACAGAAAUUUGUUUCUCACCAUUCUGCAGGCUGGGAAGCAUGGUUGCAUUCUGAUGAGCGCCCUCUUCCUGGUCUAUCGCCAGAGCUUUCUAUGUCCUUGCAGGGUGGAAGGGGCUAGGGAGCUCUGUGGGGGAGUCUCUCUCUUUUUGUUUUUUUGCUGAGGAAGAUUCGCCCUGAACUAACAUCUGUGCCAGUCUCCCUCUAUUUUGUAUGUUUUGUAUGUAUAUUUUGUAUGUUUUGUAUGUUUUGUAUGCUGCUGAUGAGCAGUGUGGCCGCUGAUGAGUGGUGUAGGUCUGCGCCCGGGAACCCAACCCAGGACUCAGAGCAGAUUGACUGAACUUAACUACUAGGCCAUGGGGUGGCCUCAGCUCUGUGGGGUCUCUUUUUUAAGAGCACUAAUCUCAUUCGUGAGGGCUCCACCCUCAUGACCUGAGUACCUCCCCAAAGCCCCUAAUACCAUUACAGGGGGGAUUAGGAUUUCAAUAUAGAAAUUUGAGGGGACACGGACAUUCAGUUCACAGUACUCCCCCUCUGU